UAAACAGGGCUCGAGUACUUCCGGUCGCCGCCUUCGUCAUUUAGGGCUUUGGCCGGCCCGCUCUCGGGCUUGAACUGCUGAUCGGGAGCAAAGCAGGGCAGAUAGUCCCCAGGGUGGCCGGCCCUCUGCUUGCCACUGCCGGAGGGCGAGGCGGCGGCGGCGGCGGCGGCGGCGCCCAGGUCCUUGUCGGCGUAGAAGCAGGAGCCGCCAUAGUCAUAGGAGGGCCGGUUGCAGGCGAGGACCGUGUUGGUGGACUGUUGGUAGAAACAAGGUUCUGGCUCGCAGGGGUCCCUUUUACUUUGACAGCUGUCGUUUUGGCUGCACCGGAGACGAAUCGCCCUCCUUCUGGUGCCAGAAGAAGCAGGAAAUUAGCCAGGUUGCGAGUUUAAAAUCUGCCACUCCAGCGCUUUGAAUCCAGUACGCCACACCUUCCGGCGGAGGAGAUGGAAAUCGCCAUCCAAGAGCCGCGUCUGCUGAAGUCGAACCUCCAUACCCCCUGCUCUCUAUUGACUUACAAAGGAUAACCAGGGGGGUGCAGUGGGGGGGGGGGACUGAAAAGCCAGAGAGAUCCGAAGCAGGACAGAGCCGAGCUAAAGAAUGCAGCUCUAUUCUCGCCAGGGAAAUUAUAAAAAAGUUCAUGUUCACGGUUACCAUCCACAUGACCGUCGGCGACCAAUGGAGGAACCCAGCCACUCAUAAAGUUGUAUUGCAAAGUUGUAAAUUUUCAUAAACAACAACGGAUUUAUGGCCUUUUCCUCAUCACUAAGAAAGAGGCAGGACUUAGAGAGGCGCCAUUUUACCAGAGAGGCAGACCUAGAUUUUUAAAGGACCCACCGUUUGGACUCCCUUUUCACCAUUAUUAGGAAAAUUGCGCUGAAGGCGCUGAGAAUACCAGAGCCUGCAAAGGCUGUUUUCUUCUCCAGGACUCUUCGCCUUGCCCUUUUGCACAUUUUUCUUCACAAUUCCACUGUUAAUCGUGCUUUGGUGGUGGUUGUUUUUUAAAACCAGGUGAUCUGAUUUAUUAAAAGGAAAGAACUGCUUGUAUGGAAAA